rnacentral:rRNA from 1 species
UACGUAGGGUGCAAGCGUUAAUCGGAAUUACUGGGCGUAAAGCGUGCGCAGGCGGUCCGCUAAGACAGAUGUGAAAUCCCCGGGCUUAACCUGGGAACUGCAUUUGUGACUGGCGGGCUAGAGUAUGGCAGAGGGGGGUAGAAUUCCACGUGUAGCAGUGAAAUGCGUAGAGAUGUGGAGGAAUACCGAUGGCGAAGGCAGCCCCCUGGGCCAAUACUGACGCUCAUUGCACGAAAGCGUGGGGAGCAAACAGGAUUAGAUACCCUGGUAGUCCACGCCCUAAACGAUGUCAACUAGUGUUGGGGAUUCGAUUUCCUUAGUAACGUAGCUAACGCGUGAAAGUUGACCGUCCUGGGGAGUACGGUCGCAAGAUUAAAACUCAAAGGAAAUUG